CCUACGGGUGGCAGCAGUGAGGAAUAUUGGUCAAUGGGCGCGAGCCUGAACCAGCCAAGUCGCGUGAAGGAUGACGGCCCUACGGGUUGUAAACCUCUUUUGCCGGGGAGCAACGGGCGUCACGUGUGGCGCCACUGAGAGUACCCGGAGAAAAAGCAUCGGCUAACUCCGUGCCAGCAGCCGCGGUAAUACGGAGGAUGCGAGCGUUAUCCGGUUUUAUUGGGUUUAAAGGGUGCGUAGGCGGAUCGUUAAGUCAGUGGUCAAAUUUGGGGGCUCAACCCCUUCCCGCCAUUGAAACUGGCGUUCUUGAGUGGAAGAGAAGUAUGCGGAAUGCGUGGUGUAGCGGUGAAAUGCAUAGAUAUCACGCAGAACCCCGAUUGCGAAGGCAGCAUGCCGGCUUCCGACUGACGCUGAAGCACGAAAGCGUGGGGAUCGAACAGGAUUAGAUACCCGGGUAGUC
rnacentral:rRNA from 1 species